GGAAAAGGAAGAAGAAGGGAAUCGACCAUAGAGCUUCAUCGGAGCCGGAUCUUGGCAUUUUGAGGCCAGAAUGAUGAUCAGCUGGCUGAGAUCUUCAAUUUGAGAUAGGAUUUGGAAGGAGUGUUGGUAAAGAUCUAGAGUUUUUGAGAGUUCUUGAGCUAAAGGAGUGAAAUUGGGGUUUCAUUAGUGUUUUUGAGAAAAGAGGUUACACUUGUUAUACGCAUACCCACACAUCGGAUUUCCUACGUACCGGGUGCAAGCACCGUGUACUUAGACAAGUUACCCACCUGAAGAUCAAGAGCCAGGUCCCACUGUAGAGUUUCCCUUUGAGGACUGGAAGGUCCCUGAUGAGUUCGAGUAUGGUGCUAAUUGCACAUGUGAGGAUUGUGCUGCAUGGCAACAGUGACUCCAGAUUGAUUCUUUUUUAUUCUUUUGAUGUACCCUUUUGAUGACUUGAUGCUUAAAUUGUUAUAUUUUUGUGUAUAUAUCAUGCAUUCGAGCCCAUAUGUAUAUAACAUAACUCAAUUUGGGUAUCAAGUAUUUGGGGAACAAUUAUUGAAAUUAUUAUGAAAAGGUCUUCCAUUGAAAA